UACGUAGGGGGCUAGCGUUGUCCGGAUUUAUUGGGCGUAAAGAGCGUGUAGGCGGCCAGGUAGGUCUGCUGUGAAAACUCGAGGCUUAACCUCGAGAUGUCGGCGGAAACCAUCUGGCUAGAGUCCGGAAGAGGAGAGUGGAAUUCCUGGUGUAGCGGUGAAAUGCGCAGAUAUCAGGAAGAACACCCGUGGCUAAGGCGGUUCUCUAGUACGGUACUGACGCUGAGAAGCGAAAGCAUGGGGAGCGAACAGG
rnacentral:rRNA from 1 species